AGGGAAUAGGAAUUUCUGCGACACCUGAGAGAAGAGGAACUUUUAGGAGAGUCACUCUUUUUGAGUAGUUAAAGGUACGUGCCAGUGCUGCUUAUAACAGGUCAGGGGGUGAGUGCUGAGGACCUGAACUAAAGUAUUGGAAAGAGAAGUAGAAGAACAUGGUUAUGAUAUUAUGGCAAAAGAUAAAUCGAAGAAGGAAUCUCAUAAGG